rnacentral:lncRNA from 1 species
GUUAUCUGUCGCGGUCGCCUAGAGCGACGACACCAAAAAGGCACAAAGGCGGCGCCACGCUCGAUCGACGCACCCGCAACGUUUUUUACCUUCUUGCCGCCAUCGGGCGCAUUGGCCCCUUUUCUUGCCCGUUUCUUUGCUCUCAGAGAGAGUCUCUUUACUGCGCCCAACUAAAAAAAAGGGCUGGAGGCGCUUGUAGGGGCGGAAAAAACAAGGAAAGGCAAAUGGCGCCGUGGGUCGCGCCGUCCACUCCUUUCCGUUGAUCCUUUUUUUUCCUCCACAAAAAAACCCGACCGCCCCUUUUUGGCUGUGCCCGGCCGCCUCGGCAAGCGGGUUAUACGCCAGAGAGGGCGCACGUAUGCGCGCACACCUACGCGUACGCGCGUGCGCUAGACCGCAAACGCCGAAUCGGGUUCGAUGCGAACAUGCGCACGGCAGCCGUCGCCGUCGUCCUGGACGAAUGCGACGGUCCACGCCUCGCACCCGGGCGCCAGCAGUCCAUACAGAGUGAGGCGCUGGUCGUCGGUGCGCUCGCGGUCCAUGAAAAAGGUGAGCGACCGCGACCGCCGGCGCCCGUUGCGCAUGCAUUCCAGUGUCUCCUCGACCAGGUCGACCUUGUACACGAUGUCGCCUGUCUUGGCGCAACGCACAGAGAUGGGCUGGUCCAUGGUGGCCAAGCGCUCGAGCACAGACGACGGGCAACAUACGCCGCCCGCCUCUCUGCCGCUCAUGUCGCCGCGGCCGCCGCCGGUAUUGUCGUCGCCGUCGAUGCUGCCAUAGCAGGUACCAUUGUUGCCGUGCGCCAGACGGUCGUCGUCGCGGUUCCCAUCGCGACUAUCGAUCACGCUGCCGGGCGCGCUGUCGCAGCGCGGGCUGAUGCGGCUGCCAGUGUCGUGGCUCUGCUGGCUGAUGCGACUGCCGUCGUCGCUCUCGCACGGUUCAUAAUCCCGACGCCAGCACAGGGCCACGCCGAGGGCGCGACGCCAAAAGCGCCAGCGCCUGCGUGUCCGCCCGCCCAUUUUUCCUCGUCAAAGAGCCGGCCCCGAUCCUUUUGACACCGUGCCCUCGCCGCCGCCGGCUCCCCGCCCGUGUCUUGCGUGCUGGCGCCCUUGUGUGUGGCCUCUUUCUUUGCCGGCCGCAAGUCUUCUUUUCUUACGCCUUCUUCUUCCAGAGACUGCUCGAUCGGGCGACAGCGCUCUCGGGCCAGCAGGCACGGCCGACGACAGCACCAAAUCGCAACUGUUCCGGCCUGGCCCUGUCUUUUGUUCGGAUCGAGAAAGAAAUAAAAGGGAAAAAUAUGUAGCCC